rnacentral:rRNA from 1 species
AACGCGAAGAACCUUACCUACCCUUGACAUCCUAAGAAUUCUGCAGAGAUGCGGAAGUGCCGAAAGGAAUUUAGAGACAGGUGCUGCAUGGCUGUCGUCAGCUCGUGUUGUGAGAUGUUGGGUUAAGUCCCGUAACGAGCGCAACCCUUAUCCUUAGUUGCCAACAUGUAAUGGUGGGGACUCUAAGGAGACUGCUGGUGAAGAACCGGAGGAAGGCGGGGACGACGUCAAGUCAUCAUGGCCUUUAUGGGUAGGGCAACACACGUGCUACAAUGGGAUUUACAGAGGGAAGCCAACCUGCGAAGGGGAGCCAAUCUCAGAAAAGAUCUCGUAGUCCGGAUUGGAGUCUGCAACUCGACUCCAUGAAGUUGGAAUCGCUAGUAAUCGCGAAUCAGAACGUCGCGGUGAAUACGUUCCCGGGCCUUGUACACACCGAGUAUA